rnacentral:rRNA from 1 species
UACGUAGGGGGCAAGCGUUGUCCGGAUUUAUUGGGCGUAAAGCGCUCGCAGGUGGUUCGAUGCGUCGGGCGUGAAAGACCCCGGCUCAACUGGGGAGGGCCGUGCGAUACGGUCGAACUGGAGGCCAGUAGGGGGAUGCGGAAUUCCGGGUGUAGUGGUGGAAUGCGUAGAGAUCCGGAGGAACACCAGCGGCGAAGGCGGCAUCCUGGACUGGUCCUGACACUCAGGAGCGAAAGCGUGGGGAGCGAUCCGG